rnacentral:rRNA from 1 species
UCGAGCGGUAAGGCCCUUCGGGGUACACGAGCGGCGAACGGGUGAGUAACACGUGGGUGAUCUGCCUCGCACUCUGGGAUAAGCCUGGGAAACUGGGUCUAAUACCGGAUAUGACCUUACAUGCAUGGUGUUUGGUGGAAAGAUUUAUCGGUGCGAGAUGGGCCCGCGGCCUAUCAGCUUGUUGGUGGGGUAAUGGCCUACCAAGGCGACGACGGGUAGCCGGCCUGAGAGGGCGACCGGCCACACUGGGACUGAGACACGGCCCAGACUCCUACGGGAGGCAGCAGUGGGGAAUAUUGCACAAUGGGCGAAAGCCUGAUGCAGCGACGCCGCGUGAGGGAUGACGGCCUUCGGGUUGUAAACCUCUUUCGACAGGGACGAAGCGCAAGUGACGGUACCUGUAGAAGAAGCACCGGCCAACUACGUGCCAGCAGCCGCGGUAAUACGUAGGGUGCGAGCGUUGUCCGGAAUUACUGGGCGUAAAGAGCUUGUAGGCGGCUUGUCGCGUCGAUCGUGAAAACUUGGGGCUCAACCCCAAGCUUGCGGUCGAUACGGGCAGGCUUGAGUACUUCAGGGGAGACUGGAAUUCCUGGUGUAGCGGUGAAAUGCGCAGAUAUCAGGAGGAACACCGGUGGCGAAGGCGGGUCUCUGGGAAGUAACUGACGCUGAGAAGCGAAAGCGUGGGUAGCGAACAGGAUUAGAUACCCUGGUAGUCCACGCCGUAAACGGUGGGUACUAGGUGUGGGUUUCCUUCCACGGGAUCCGUGCCGUAGCUAACGCAUUAAGUACCCCGCCUGGGGAGUACGGCCGCAAGGCUAAAACUCAAAGGAAUUGACGGGGGCCCGCACAAGCGGCGGAGCAUGUGGAUUAAUUCGAUGCAACGCGAAGAACCUUACCUGGGUUUGACAUACACCGGAAACCUGCAGAGAUGUAGGCCCCCUUGUGGUCGGUGUACAGGUGGUGCAUGGCUGUCGUCAGCUCGUGUCGUGAGAUGUUGGGUUAAGUCCCGCAACGAGCGCAACCCUUAUCUUAUGUUGCCAGCGCGUAAUGGCGGGGACUCGUGAGAGACUGCCGGGGUCAACUCGGAGGAAGGUGGGGACGACGUCAAGUCAUCAUGCCCCUUAUGUCCAGGGCUUCACACAUGCUACAAUGGCCGGUACAGAGGGCUGCGAUACCGUGAGGUGGAGCGAAUCCCUUAAAGCCGGUCUCAGUUCGGAUCGGGGUCUGCAACUCGACCCCGUGAAGUUGGAGUCGCUAGUAAUCGCAGAUCAGCAACGCUGCGGUGAAUACGUUCCCGGGCCUUGUACACACCGCCCGUCACGUCAUGAAAGUCGGUAACACCCGAAGCCGGUGGCCUAACCCCUCGUGGGGGGAGCCGUCGAAGGUGGGAUCGGCGAUUGGGACG